rnacentral:rRNA from 1 species
CAGCCGUAAACUAUGCUCGCUAGGUGUCAGGCAUGGCGCGACCGUGUCUGGUGCCGCAGGGAAGCCGUGAAGCGAGCCACCUGGGAAGUACGGCCGCAAGGCUGAAACUUAAGGAUUGGCGGGGGAGCACCACAACGGGUGGAGCCUGCGGUUUAAUUGGACUCAACGCCGGGAAGCUCACCGGAUAAGACAGCGGAAUGACUGCCGGGCUGAAGACUCUGCAUGACUAGCUGAGAGGAGGUGCAUGGCGUAGACGUCU